rnacentral:rRNA from 1 species
UACGUAGGGCGCAAGCGUUGUCCGGAAUUAUUGGGCGUAAAGAGCUCGUAGGCGGCUUGUCACGUCGGAUGUGAAAGCCCGAGGCUUAACCUCGGGUCUGCAUUCGAUACGGGCUAGCUAGAGUGUGGUAGGGGAGAUCGGAAUUCCUGGUGUAGCGGUGAAAUGCGCAGAUAUCAGGAGGAACACCGGUGGCGAAGGCGGGUCUCUGGGCCGUAACUGACGCUGAGGAGCGAAAGCAUGGGGAGCGAACAGG